GAAAAGUAAAGGUUCUUUUGUUGUAAAAUGAUGAUUAGGAUGCUGAUCUGUCAACAAUGCAGAAGCUAUAUCUUAAUAUAUCAAACUUUGAGAGAGGUGAAAUUGCUUAUUCUCUUUUUCUACUUACUAAUAACUGCCUUUCUAUCUUUACUAUAUUCUCUAUAUGCUGGAAUCCUGUGUGAAGAAUUAGUGUUGUUUUCUAUUUCUAGAGCUUUAAGACUAUUUAUCUUCUCGAGUGAUGUUUCUGAGACUAUAAACACUUAGAUAUGUUGGUUGUCCUCUUGUUUUCUACAAUUGAUGUCGGUGCCAUUUGCAACAUUUACCACACUGCAAUUUUGCUUUCAUUCUUUACAUCGUCAUUCUUCCCUUGCAAUCAUAUCAAAGGCAUGUAUCUGUUCAAACAAAAUCUAUGUUGCCCAUCCUUUAUAGGUCCUUUUUUUAACACAAUCCUUCAUUUAGAUUUCCAUUCUCAGACCAUUGACACCAAGGCUAGUUGGAAAAUAUCAUCAUCUAUAAUCUCCUUUUAUGCAUAAAAUAUUCCAACAUGUGGAUGCCUUAAAGAUUUGUGUAAUUUCCAGAACUUUUAGCUCAAAGUUUCAAAUGAUUGUUAGAUUCAGUGUCUCUUUGCCAUAGAGCUGCCUAAUUGAAAUUUUUUUUGGUGUAUGCUUCUCUAGUUUUUAACCACUUUGUUUAGAGAAAAGUAACAAAGUUCAACAUGCUUGUCUCUAAUACCAUUUAUGGCCUACACAUAGAGAGUGAGUACUAAAAUACCUUCACUUCAGAUAUUGGGUUUCCCAUCUGCUGAUGUUCCUCCUUUGAUUUGUUGUAUCUUUCAAUCACUGAUUUCAUGCUGUAAGAACACAUUCAAAUUUUAUUAGAGAUGAACAUUGUGCUCUCUGAGAUGUGAACACUUCAUAAAUAAAAUGUCACUAACUACCAAAUGUAUGACUUAGAAAGAAAUUGGAUAUGUUCAUUGAGUUGUGCUUAUGUCAGUUAAAGCUGUAACUAUGGACAUCAAAUAAGAUUUUCAGUUCUUUGGGUUGAAAUUGACUGGAGCACAAACUAAAGAUGCAUUGUCUAUAUAUAUUAUAUAUUAUUUGACUAAAAUUUUGAUGUUGAUAGAUCUAAAGAAGUUU
rnacentral:misc_RNA from 1 species